CUCAAACAGAUCUAAAAAGAAAUGACAUUACAGCAAAAUGCAAGAAUAGUGUUUUUGUUUACUGUCUGAUUUUUUUUUUUUAGAAUAAACGAAUAAACUAAAAGAAACUAUGGCCUUGGACAUUCAAUAAGAUUGCGAGUCUAUAAUUGAAAGUUUCAUUGCAUUGCAUCCGCAUAUGCCUGCAUUCACUAUGCCCAAAGAAUUCUUCCAUCAAAAGUACCUUACAAAAAAUAGGAGCACUGUUUUUGCAAGCAAUCAACAGAUCGGUUGGAAGAAAUUGAAAGAAUUCGUGUUCAGUUUGGACAAUUCAACUUAAGGCGAUGAUGCGAAAAGCAUAUUCUUGGAAAUCCUCAAAGAAAACGCAUUCAAGAAGUUUUUUUUGCAUCGGACAUUUACUUUGGAUUAGAAAAUCUUUUAAAUACAAAGUACUGUUGUCAAGUGUCAACCUUACCACGUCCAUGCACAUGAAGGGUCCAGAAGAAAAACGGCACAACAACAAUAAAUUAUGAGGUCUUGUAGUAUUUACUGAGCACUAUGUGAUGGCAUCCCUACUUUUAGAAAACAAAUUUAAACCUUGCUAAAAAAAAUUAAUAAAUGAUGUGCCUAAUCUUCUAAGUUGUAUUUGUGAACAAAAUUUUAAAUUGCGUUUUUCUCGGAAUGAGUUGUCAUGUAAUGGACUAGUGCUGUUUUUUCCUGUGGACACUUCACAACUUUCAUAAUAACAUGACAUUCUAAACUUCAACAAGAGAACUGGUUUUGGAAUUCAAAAGCAUUGAUAUUGGGGAUGCGGAUGCGAAUAUUCGCAAAAUCCCUAGUAUAGAUACUUGGGUUUUUAGCGUAGUAUAGUAUCUAUACUACUACAAGUGUGUCCCAGUGUAUUUAUAGACUUCUCCUCCUGUUAACCUUGAACUCGCUCAAUUUAAGCGAUAUCCACAUAUGAAUAUAUAAACAUAUCUACUGAGCACGCA